GACGAACGCUGGCGGCGUGCCUAAUACAUGCAAGUAGAACGCACAGUUUAUACCGUAGCUUGCUACACCAUAGACUGUGAGUUGCGAACGGGUGAGUAACGCGUAGGUAACCUGCCUGGUAGCGGGGGAUAACUAUUGGAAACGAUAGCUAAUACCGCAUAAUAUUAAUUAUUGCAUGAUAAUUAAUUGAAAGGUGCAAUUGCACCACUACCAGAUGGACCUGUGUUGUAUUAGCUAGUAGGUGAGGUAACGGCUCACCUAGGCGACGAUACAUAGCCGACCUGAGAGGGGGAUCGGCCACACUGGGACUGAGACACGGCCCAGACUCCUACGGGAGGCAGCAGUAGGGAAUCUUCGGCAAUGGACGAAAGUCUGACCGAGCAACGCCGCGGGAGUGAAGAAGGGUUUCGGAUCGGAAAGCUCUGUUGUAAGGGAAGAACGGGUGUGAGAGUGGAAAGUUCACACUGUGACGGUAUCUUACCAGAAAGGGACGGCUAACUACGUG
rnacentral:rRNA from 1 species